rnacentral:rRNA from 1 species
AGUGAACGCUGGCGGCGUGCUUAACACAUGCAAGUCGAACGAGAACGGAAUAUAGCUUGCUAUAUUUGUCAGCUAAGUGGCGCACGGGUGAGUAAUAUAUAGAUAACCUGCCCUUAAGAAAGGAAUAACAGUUGGAAACGACUGCUAAUGCCCUAUAUGCCUUUAAUACAUAAGUAUGCAAGGGAAACGCUUUAGUGCUUAAGGAUGGGUCUGUAUGGUAUCAGCUUGUUGGUGAGGUAAUGGCUCACAAAGGCUAUGACGCCUAACUGGUUUGAGAGGAUGAUCAGUCACACUGGAACUGAGACACGGUCCAGACUCCUACGGGAGGCAGCAGUGGGGAAUAUUGCACAAUGGACGAAAGUCUGAUGCAGCAACGCCGCGUGGAGGAUGACACAUUUCGGUGCGUAAACUCCUUUUAUAUAGGAAGAUAAUGACGGUACUAUAUGAAUAAGCACCGGCUAACUCCGUGCCAGCAGCAGCCGCAG